UGCAGACUUUAUAUUAUGUGAUUUUUUUCCUUUUUUUUCUCUUAUGAUGAUUAGCCAAUGCAGGUGUGGGACCGAGUCCCCCGAGUCUUCUUGUUCAUUAACAACAGCUAACAUUUGUGCAGCAGUGUUUCGGUGUAUCAGGCACUGCCACGUACCUUAACCCCUUGGAACGUCACAUUUUACAGGUGGAAAAGCCGAGGUCUGAGGGCUGGUGGGCCUCAUCCGAGGCACCGUGAGAAAAACCCAGAGGUCGAGGGCCGAGUGGAGUUGGGAGGCCGCUUCUGAGAGCCUUUAUUACCUGCUCCCAUGCCACAGCUGCAUCUCACUCACUCCUCGAGCCAGGGGUUUGGGAAAGGCAUUAUUGAAAGGUUCCCCAAAGUCUGCUAAUUAAGUGGUUCUUUAACUGUGAUGCUACUGCUAACUUCAACAAUGGAGUCUUUUCCUAGUUUGCAGAAAUGUGCAACUUGUAGCAAUCGACAGAACUUUUUCAGUUAAAUUCUUUUUCUGGCAUUAAUAAUUCUUAAACUUUCGGUAUUUGGGCUCUAGCAGAGGACAGAAUGUCAUAAGGAGCAGACAAAAAUUCGCAGACAAAAAUUUACAGUUCGUCAACGAUUAUUUGGAAGACGAGGGAGGACUUCUGAGAGUGGCCUUGUUUCUUAUUUUUGCACGUGGAUAAGUGCAGUUAUAUUUUCCAUAGUCAAGUUUUUCCUUGAUUGUAUCAUGGGAUUGAAUUCGUCAGUAGUUCAUGGUGUUCUGCAACAAUGCCUCUAGGAUCUGCUUCCUGGGUGGCCCUUUACUUUCAACUACAGUGUUUGCAGGCUUUGCAAAGACUCAGGCCCUGACUGGACCUUCGCUCAGCGUCCCCCAGAGCCUGUCUCUUGCCCGUCUGCAUCUGAAUCUCCCGGGAGCUCCAUUUGCCAGCAGGUGCCUGGUGCCGCCCCAUACUUGCGGAAUGAGAAGCUCCACCACUGGGCCCAGGAGUGUGUGUGACAUGCUCCCCACAAGAUCCUGGAGCCCUUGAAGUGUGAGAACCAGGGCUCUGGGUGAGGAUGACCCUUUCCCUGGCCGCCUGAGAAAAGGGAAAGAGUUGAGGAAUUUCUUCACGUCCUAUGGUUCAGAUUUCAUCAGAUCAGAGGAAGAUCGUGGCCACCCUGGGCAGGCAGAUUCCUGGAGAUGGCCUUUUCCAGUCAAGAGAUUUCUGAUCCACUGUGCUUGCUUCUGCCAAAUCCCCAGCCUUGGAAGCCAGCAGCUGGGGAAAAGCCAUUGUGUAUCGAUUAAUGCGUAUUUUUUCUAACUUCUUUUCCUCUUCUAUCGUUUCAUAACCAAGCUAUGCCAGGGCCUUGCUUUCAAUUUUUAAAGAGCCAAGGGUCAUUUUCUCAGACUAUUUUAAAAAUGAAGAGAAGGUUCCAACCAGAGUUAUGUAGUAUUUUCUUUGUACAGACAUAUGGUUUCAUUCCAAAAUCAUAGGCAUCUUUAAUGAACUCUGUGUUCUCCUGUUUUCUAUAGCUAAUUAGUAGUAGAG